GUAGACAAGGCUGGACAUGAACUCACAGGGAUCCACCUGCCUCUGCCUGCUGCUGAGUGCUGGGAUUAAAGGUGAUUCCUCAGACCCUGUUCAACUGUCCUGUGGGCCUGGACAAGAAAGCUGCUCAUCAUUGGAGGGUAGGCCUACCUGCUCAUCUUGAGAAGCACCAGAGAUCGACUUCUGUUUGCUGAAGACGACACGGAUUAACCCAUUGUGAGACAGUCCAGGAUGAAUAGAAAAUGAAGCAGCGCAGAUCAUAGGAGAAAUAUGGUGGUUCCUCAGACCCUGUUUGACUGUCCCGCAUGUCGGGACACCUGGCAUUGAGGUCAGCUCUGCAAUACUGAGCAGGGUGGAAAGCACCAGGAAGGGCAAAUGGUGCAACAACCUGAGCACCUACUAUGUUCCCUGACACACCAACCCAUAAGUGUCUAACAGGAUUUCUGUGCAAGGCCAUGGUUCCUGCCAUAGCAAGAACUGGCUCUAAGCAUCCUGGUUCUAAGGAUGCUGGUUUCCAACUGACUGCCGAGAAGCCAGUCCAGCUGGGUGAUCCACUCCACACAGGGUUCUUGGAAGAUGAGGAGAAGGUGAAAGGCAGAGAACAGAAGCUAGAUGGGUUAAAGGUGUCUUGCUAAAUGGCAAUCAGCAUUUGCUUCAGCAUCCUGGAAGCAGGAUUUGGGGCCUGUACCACCACACCAUGAUCACUGAAAAUAACUUGGAUGAAGGCAAGUAAAACUCAAAGGAAAAUUAGCCAAAUGGAAAUGAUGACAGCUUACUGAUGAAGGAACCCAAGAGAGGGCCACACUCAGGAGAACCCAUCCUGCCACUAAAGACUAGAUAUGAAGAAACAGUCCCCCCACUUCGGCUGCGAGCCUGAGACUGUUGACAUAACUGUUUGUACCAAGAUCCCAAGAACUAGCAAUUCUUUCUUUCCCUCCCUUCCUUCUUUCCUAAUACAUAAUCUCUCUCUAUAGCCCUGGUUGUUCUGGGACUCACUAUGUAGACCAGGCUGGCCUCCAACUGACAAGAUAGCCACAUGACUCUGCUUCCUGGGUGCUGGGAUUAAAGGCUCGUGUUAUACUUA
rnacentral:lncRNA from 1 species